UGCAGAACACAAUGAUGGAUGCAAUAAAACAGGGAACAUUAAUAAAAACAUUAAAGAUUUUUAUAUCUUAAUAAAUAAUACGUAAAAAAACACAGUGCAAGAAGAAAUAAGCAAUAAAAAACUAAUGAAGAGUCAGAAGCGGAACGUUAGCUCCCACACGUUCACUGUCGGAACCCAACAGCCUGACAUCACCGGAAGUAAACAAUACAAGCGCUAGCAGCAUUAGCCAUUUCAUGUAUUGAAUGAAGUGGAGGACGAUACCGUUAAUUUCCGCGCAGAUAAUUAUUGUGGUUAUAAUCACACAACAAUGUCUUCAGCCGAGUAUUUAAGAGCGUUUGUGAAUGAUCGACUAACUGCUGCCGCUGAAGAAAUAUUUGAAGUUUUUAAGAAAACUAUCGUCGACUACGAAGAAGAGAUCGACCGUCAGCGCAGGCUGCUGGAUAUCAUUUGGAAACCUGACAUAAAUUUACACAGGAUAGAGCUCCCACAGCAGUAUGUCUGCACAGAGGAGGAGGUUCUCAUUGAUCAGCAGCUCUGUGAUCAGGAGAACCCAGAGCUUCUACAGAUUAAAGAGGAAGAGGAGGAAGUCUGCUUCAGUCAGGAGGGAGAGCAGCUUGUACUGAAGCAGGAGGCUGAUGCCUUUUUGUUGAGUCCUACUUAUGAGGAAAGUGACCACCUGCUCUUCUUUAACAACUCUGAGAGCCGACAUGAGGAGGAAGGCGAGAGUGGAGAUUCAGGACCAACUGGAGAUACUGAGACAAAACAAGAGGGGCGACAUCACGAAAGUGAAAGUCAAAGUGAUGCAUACAACUCUAAAUCGUUAGAGCUUUUCGGCAAAAAGUCUGUCAAAUGUGAGACAUGUGGAAAAGCUUUCAAGUAUAAGUCCAAACUAAAUACACACCUGAGGAUUCACACAGGUGAGAGGCCAUAUUCUUGUGACACUUGUGGGAAAAGAUUCAGUCAGAUGUCGGUUCUGAAUGCCCAUAUAAGAAUCCACACAGGUGAGAAGCCGUAUUCUUGCAAAAUUUGUGGGGAAGAUUUCAGAUUUAGCAGCGGCUUGACGGUCCACAUGAAAACCCACACAGGUGAGAAGCCGUACCCCUGCAACAUAUGUGGGAAAAGAUUCUGUCAGACAUCAGACUUGAAAAAUCAUGCAAGAAUCCAUACAGGUGAGAAGCAGUAUUCUUGUGACACCUGUGGGAAACGUUUCGGUCAUCAAAAGGUGUUGAACUCUCAUUUAAGAAUCCACACAGGUGAGAAGCCGUAUUCCUGUAAAACCUGUGGGGAAGAUUUCAGGUUUAGCAGUGCCUUGAAAGUCCACAUGAGAAGAGCCCACACAGGUGAGAAGCCGUACCUCUGCAAGACCUGUGGUAGAAGAUUCAUUGAUAUGUCAAAACUGACGGUCCACAUUAGAACCCACACAGGUGAGAAGCCAUACCUUUGCAAGAUCUGUGGGAAAAGAUUCAUUGAAAUGUCAAGAUUGAAGCUCCACAUGAAAACCCACACGGGUGAGAGGCCGUACAUUUGCAAGAUCUGCGGGAAAACCUUCAUUGAAAUGUCAAAACUGAAAGUCCACAUGAGAAUCCACACAGGUGAGAGGCCGUUCACCUGUAAGACCUGUGGGAAAGAUUUCAGAUUUAGUGGUGACCUGACAGUCCAUACCAGAAGAGCCCACACAGGUGAGAAGCCGUACCUCUGCAAUACCUGUGGGAAAAGAUUCUUUGAUUCGUCUCAUUUGGCAAGGCACACCAGAACACAUAUGGGCAAGUAGUCUCGUACCUGCAAACGUGUGGAACAUGACGAGUUCUUCCAAUUUGUGGUCAAAACAGAAGAACUCAGAAGUGAGAAGUGGGCAAGCGUUUGCUUAAAUCACAUGCUUGAAGUCAAUUUCAAGUUUCUUGUUGUAUGCCUUCGCAAACUAGUCAAGUUGAAGUUUACAUCCAUCCACAUUCAUAAACGUAGUGAAGACUUGGAAAGAAUUUAGUAAAAGGCAGAGGACCGACGAAGAGCUUCGUUACAUCAUGACGAUCACCUGAAGCUCAGGGUCGGCAAACCGACGAUCUCGUUGUGGACUGCAGCUCUGUGGUUACUUGUGUGCCGGUUCAUUUAGAGGAACAAAGCAGAGACUGCGACCCACGAACACUCACUAGUCUUUGCUUUGUUGCUACGCGAGUAGUCGGGUACUGAAGGGUCCGACCACAUCUGUCUUCAGACUCGGCUUUCCUUUUGAUGUCAGCUACGCUCGAGUCCGGUUUCAUGACUGCGUCAAACUGGACUCGAGUUUUCUCUGGUUCCACCUUCUUCUAACGCUGAGGCAGCAUCUUGAAAGGCUGUGAUGUUAUCACACUGAAAGAAAUCUGUUCAGAUACAAUCUGUGGCUAUGGCGUCCUGUGAUGCAACCGCUGUCUCCAUGACGACACGCACACAGACUCACAAAGUGAUAGCAACACCCGCCGCGCUGCUUAAUGUGCUCACGGCUGGUUCUGAUGGAACAUGAAGAAGGUACAAAUUCUACAGGCUGAACCAGUUCACCGCCUGACCGGAUGCGAACCACAGAGACGCUGACCUUUGACUUUUUGUAUAUAAAACGUUAUUUCAUUCCGUUAGAUGUUUGUCAUGAUUAGCGUACGUUUAUGUUUAAUGUAUUUGCAUUAUGUCUAUUUGCAUUAGCUUGAUCUGUUUGUUUAUAUUUGGGUUCAGUGGUGGAUGACGUCCCACAUGGACUUGGAUUUAGUCAACAAUGAAAUAUAAUGCAUCCAUGUCAUUUAUUCAGACUGAUGUUGGUGCUCAUCGCAUCAGCUGUAAGCAAUAACAAGCCAGCUGCUCAUGCAUGCUGUUUUCUAAUGAAUUUAUUCUAAUAAAUUCCAAUAAUAAUAGUAAUUAACUUUGUUAAGUGACAAUGUAAGAUCACCAGAUUCACCCUGAAGGCUAAAGAAGAAAACUGAAUCUGUUUGUCAGGGCUGCAGGUGAUCAUGACUGAAAUCAAAAGUAAAAGUAUUCAUAGUGAAGAAUAGUUCUUUGUUAAGUUAUGACAUACAAGAGGCGUUUCAGUGUUGUUUUUGGCAGUAAAACAAAUCUGCAGAUCUAUUUGUAUCCUGUCGAGGGUCUCUGUUGGCCUGCUCAUGUGAAGGGGAGAUUUGAUCCAGUUUGAUCAUUGAAAGUGCAGCAUAUUCAACACGUACUUCUCCAACUGUGGAACAUUCAAGGACCUCACGGGCCAAAAAACACUACAGAAAUACGUUACUUGAAACCGAACGGGAUUAUUUGAACCCACAUCAAGGCAGAACCGGGAAAUGUUGGACCCAAACCUGGUCAGAAGAUGCAGAUACUCUUUACAAAGAGGGUUUGUAAAAUCCGUCGGGUUUCCUGUCGUCCUUCUCUUGCUGACUGAAGCAGUGUGGCUUCCCUCGGGUUCGGAUGGACCCGUGAACACGUCUGCUGUACUUCAGAUCAUCUUCAGAUUGCAUGUAAAGUACACGCUGAUAUUGUGGUUGAAAUGUAUGAUUAUAAUUGAAUUGUAGAAUGUGUCUCAUUAUGUUAAUUUAUGCAUCAAUGUUUGUUGAGAGACCUUCAGUUGGCAUCUUGGUGUACAGAAGUGAUGCUGCAAUGUCCAACUUUGUGAUGUUCCUGAAGAGCUCGCGUCUUGUGUCUGCUGUCUGGUGCCGUGAUGCUCUGAGCUUCUGUAGGACAAACUGUUUAAAAUGAAGAAGAGAAAAGGAAGAAAGUCUAGAAGGCCUAACAUGCUGGACCAACAAUGGGAGAAAGAACAUAGAGGAAGUAAAAAAGUACCGACGUGUUGCCUGGAAAUGCAAGAAAGAAAACAAGGACGCCAACCAGAUAUUGCAGGAUGGCUGGAUAGUCUGAGCUGCCGUUUUAGAGAAGUGACCUUCUCGUGCUGGGCCCACAGAGGGGAACCAUGUUGUUGUUUUCGUGACCAGCUGCGUCUCACAGGUCAAGGUCCAGCAAGUUCCCCUCUAAGGUCUGGCUCCAGAAGGUGGCCCGAUUUCCAGAUUCACCCUCCAAUCAGGUAAAAAUAUCACACUGUUCUUGUAUGUUCAGCUUCUUUGAAAGUAAACUCAUUUGAAUCCACGAGUCCAGUUCCUUCUGUCAAAUACUACAACAGUAUCUGAAUACUUCUACCACCACCUGUUUUUGUUUCGUGAUCUGCAAACCAACAGAACAGACAGCUUUCAGUUCAGAGAAGGCCAGUAGUUUAGAAGUGCAUCAGACUUCUUUGUGGGACUGUUGGUUAGACUUUCGUGUAACAAAACGUUUUAAGAAAAUCAGCCUUACGAGGUUUCCACGUGACACAGCAGUAUUUAAUAAUGAAAUAAAAACUCAAUUGAAAGGUUUUUUCAUGACCACAGAUGACAAGUUUACAUUUUGCAGAAAAAGAAAAUCCUAUAAAAUCAUUUUUUAGAAUAGAAAAAGAUGAUGCAAUUCUCCGCGUUGCCAUGGUGACAUCCGUGUUCGUAAGGAGAUCAGGUGAUGCCCGUCAACCAAUCAUACUUGUCCCACUUCACCUGUUGUGGUACACAGGUUUAAAGUUCAUGAAACCAGAGGCCCUGAGUUUUAUCUCUCAGGCUGCCCUGAUUACGUUUGGAGGAGUUUCUGCCUUAAAGACCAAACAUAGGACAAUAAAAUCCCUCAAAUCAUUUUCAUCAUUUUCCAAACUCGUGGUUGGACACUGAUGAGACAUUUGAAUCACAGGUUACCCUUUAAAGGAUCAGUCUGGUGUUAUUUUAUAAGUAGUUAAAACAAAUUCCACAUGCAGAGUCAGAGCAGGAAGAAGUAUCCAGAUCCA